rnacentral:rRNA from 1 species
CGAAUCUCGAAAGCCUGUCUCAGUUCGGAUUGGAGGCUGAAACCCGCCUCCAUGAAGUUGGAUUCGCUAGUAAUCGCGCAUCAGCCAUGGCGCGGUGAAUACGUUCCCGGGCCUUGUGCACACCGCCCGUCAAGCCAUGGGAGCCGGGGGUGCCUGAAGUUCGUGACCGCAAGGAGCGACCUAGGGCAAAACUGGUGACUGGGGCUAAGUCGUAACAAGGUACC